AUCGAACUGACGAGUCCCAAAUGGGACGAAACGUCCGUCUGGAU
rfam:Schistosoma mansoni strain Puerto Rico chromosome 1, complete genome